rnacentral:ncRNA from 2 species
CGGUUCUGCCACGGGAGUCCGGUGUCGUCCGGGCUGAGAGGAGGGCGAACCAGCCCUCGACCGUAUGAACCUGAUCCGGGUAAUGCCGGCGCAGGGACGGGAGGAUGUGUAGUGC